rnacentral:rRNA from 1 species
UACCUGCAGCUCAAGUGGUGGCCGCUAUUAUUGGGCCUAAAACGUUCGUAGCCGGCUUAUCAAGUCUUUUGUUAAACCCAAUGAUUCAAUCAUUGAUCUGCAAGAGAUACAGUUAUGCUAGAGGACGGGAGAGGUCGACGGUAGUCCAGGGGUAGGGGUGAAAUCCUAUAAUCCUUGGAGGACCACCAGUGGCGAAGGCGGUCGACUAGAACGUGCCUGACGGUGAGGGACGAAAGCUGGGGGGAGCGAACCGGAUUAGAUACCCGGGUAGUCCCAGCUGUAAACGAUGCGGGCUAGGUGUUGGGGUAGCUACGAGCUACUCCAGUGCCGCAGAGAAGUUGUUAAGCCCGCCGCCUGGGGGAGUACGGCCGCAAGGCUGAAACUUAAAGGAAUUGGCGGGGGAGCACCACAAGGGGUGAAGGCUGCGGUUU